AGUGACAAGUGGUAAACUAGAAACAUGCAUUGGGGCCAGAAGGAUAUAUAUUUCUUUUUUCUUAAUUUUUUUUCAUUUGAGAAGUUUCUUUCUCUCUCUUCUCUCUUUCUCAUACGCGCUUUCUCUCUCUCUUUUCUCACCGUUGUUCAUGAUGAACAACAAGAACACCAUGCAUGUUCAUCCCCAUCCCAGAUUCCGGCGAGCAACCACCGUCGCCGGAAAGUCCAAUCACUUCCAUUUUUUUCCUCAACAGUUCUUAAUAUCUCUCUGCUCUCACCUUCUCUUUCUUCAUCACCGCAUCCACCACAACCUCCACCACCACCUACAAAUCAAUCUCCGAAUCAGAACGUCCUAUCCGCUUCCGGUGAUGCCGCCGUCAUCAAAAUCACGUUAUUCUUCCUCUCAGGUAGUUGAAGUUUCAACUUCCAAAAAACUUGAAGAUAUUGUUCCUUCUUCUCCUAACAGUGAUGUUCCUCGUGUCAGGAACUCUUGCUUUGGCAAUUAUUGUCACUGCCUUCACUUUACAGGUUAGAAGCUCAUCAAAAUGACAUUGAACUUGAAGAGUGGUGACAAGGCUAUGAUUUUUUGUUUUGUGGAGUUUACUGAACCCAAAUGCGCUCUCACCGCCAUGGAAGCUCUGCAAGGAUAUAAUGAGGCUGGCCUAGAAAAACCUUAUACAUUCAAGGCUGAUGAGAGGAAUGGAAGAUAGAAAUAAUUCUCAUAUGUUGAAUAGUGAUUGUGUGUACUUCUAACUUAAGUACCAAAUUGAAGAGAAAUAAUUACAAAUUCUCAGUGGUGACCACAAGUACUACUUCACAUUUUCUCAAAAACUUUCCAUAUUGUCAAGGUAUGGUUCAUCACCAAAUGAUUUUGAAGGAGUGUCUGCCCAUUUUGAUGUUCCUUUUGUUCAAGCUCCCUCAUUUCCUACACUUUCCAUUAAUGUGAUGAAUCUUUUGAAUUCAGGUAGUACUAAGUUGAAAGUUGAAACUAAUAGAAUAGCAUCCAUCUAUAACAUCAGUAAGUAAGCAAAUGCAUUAUUCUAAACAUAAAGUCAUUUAGUUUAUAUGCAAAAAAGAACAUGUGUAUUGUUCUAAUUCUAAUACUUGACUUAUUCUAUUCACAUGUGUGUAGCCAAUGAUGAUGUAGCUAUGUGUCAGUUUUUUUUUUUGCAAUUUUGUAAUUUUGAAAAUAUUGACAUGAUUUUGGAACUUGGAUAGAAAUGCCAACAAGUUCUUCAUAUUAAGCAAUCAAUUAGUGUUGUCCGCAAACUGGCGUGAUCAUCCCUUUUGAAUUAUUUUGAGUGGUGUUCUUUCAUAUAUAUGUCCAUCGUUUAUUGAAAUUGUUGAUCAUUUUGGAUUUUAUAUACGGCAAUUUCAGUUUGGUUUCAUAUUUAAGGUUUUGAUUGGUUUUCUUUUGUUCUAUUAACCGAUUGGUGCUUAUGGAAAAACCACUUGAGAGUUUGUUUCGAAAGAUUAAUUAAUUAUUCUUUUUGUUUGAGGUUGAUCUUGGAUAGAAUCAACUCUCGUGCAGCAGACUAUGUAAUGUAUAUGCCAUCAUGAUAUAGAUUGUAUGAUAAUUACUUUUGAUAUAGUUUUGGUUUGUGUUUUUUGUUCAACUUAUGGUUUAUAAUGGUUCUUGGUUUGUGAGCUUAAACCUCUCUGCUUCUUAGAUAAUGAGAUUGGUGCUUGUAAGUUUUGUGAUUUGGUUAUUGGUUUUCAUUGCCAUCUGGAAAAUGGAGGCAGUGAUAGGGAUAUCACUGUAGCAAGGAAUUAACAGGUUUUAUAAUACAUAAUGAAAGUGGAACAAUUCUUUUUUAUGGUUGUGAUAUUUAGGUUCAAAUUUCAAAUAAAGUUAACUACCUGCAGCAAAGAAUCUCAUUCUUGCUGGUGUCAAAUCUGUGACCUUGCAUGAUGUGGGGACUGUUGAGCUAUGGGAUCUGUCUAGCAAUUUUGUGUUUUCGGAAAAUGAUGUUGGGAAGAACAGAGCAUUGGCUUCUGUUGCUAAGUUGCAGGAGCUGAACAAUGCAGUUGUUGUGCAAAGCUUAACAUCCGAGCUGACAAAAGAGCAACUUGCUGAUUUCCAAGUACAAGCUUAAUCUCCAGGUUAUUGACAAUACAGGGUCAAUAACUUUUGUGAUGUUUGACCGUGUUGUUUUCCAAGUUGUUGGAUUGACUGCCCAGGAUAUGCUAGAUUCUAUGAACAAUGAUCCUAACUCAACUACCUAUCCAAGAGAGCUUGAUGUGUUUAUCAACAAGCGGAUGCUUUUCAAGGUGGAAGUGACUGAUGCUAAUUUAUACCGGAAUUGGCGUGGUUAUACUGUGAAAAAGAUGACUGCCGAUGAGGAAAUCAUCAAGCAAUUCACUACACUCCACAGGAUAAAUGUAGGCUUCAAUCAAUGUCAAUUUCAAUUUCAUUCAUUUUGUAGUCCAUCUUAUAACGAGUUAUUUUUAUGGUUAAGUUUCAGUUAGAUGAUGAUGCUAAUGACACCAGCUUCAAUCAUUUGGAGUGUGAGUUGGGAGACAAUGAUCAUCCGGCUGCACUUGAUGGAGUUGAAUCAAGCAAUAAUGCCCAUAUACCCGUUCCUCCUUCAUCUCAGACUCCAACUAGCAAGCUAAGUGGCAAACAGGGGCCUGCUAUUGCUGUGGUCGAUGCUUCUUCCUCUGAUAAGCCUAUUGUGCAGAGGACUAUAGAUCUUGAUGGGGAUGAUGCGACUCCAGCUGGUACCAUUGGUCCAUCAACAGACAAUCCAAUUGAUUAAGUCCACAUUAUCACUCCAAAGGAUGACAACUUUCCCUGUGUCAAGACUGGUUGUUCUAAGUGAUUGUGGCUGUCAUGGUGUUUUCCUUUGUUCAUGAUAAGUGUAUUUGGUCUUAGUUUCCUGUCUAUUUGUCUUGGUGUUGCUGUUUGUCUACAUGUUUUGUAUCUUUUGAUGUUUUAUGUUCUACUAUCUAAUGUUUAGUGAAUGCUUUAUAUAAGCAUCCUUUUAUGUACUAUGUACCUGUUCCACAUAAUAAAUGGAAUCCAUCAUGUAGUUA